rnacentral:pre_miRNA from 1 species
UAUCUACUCCCUCUGUCCCAAAAUUCUUGUCUUAGAUUUAUCUAGAUACGGAUGUAUUUAACAAUAAAAUGUGAAUAGAUACAUUCGUAUGUAGACAAAUCUAAUACAAGAAUUUUGGGACGGAGGGAGUAUAAU